rnacentral:rRNA from 1 species
GAUGAACGCUGGCUACAGGCUUAACACAUGCAAGUCGAGGGGAAACGACGGGGAAGCUUGCUUCCCCGGGCGUCGACCGGCGCACGGGUGAGUAACGCGUAUCCAACCUGCUUCUGACUGAGGGAUAACCCGUCGAAAGUCGGCCUAAUACCUCAUGGCAUCGUCUGCGGGCAUCCAACGACGAUUAAAGAUUUCAUCGGUCAGGGAUGGGGAUGCGUCUGAUUAGCUUGUUGGCGGGGUAACGGCCCACCAAGGCUACGAUCAGUAGGGGUUCUGAGAGGAAGGUCCCCCACAUUGGAACUGAGACACGGUCCAAACUCCUACGGGAGGCAGCAGUGAGGAAUAUUGGUCAAUGGGCGGGAGCCUGAACCAGCCAAGUAGCGUGCAGGAUGACGGCCCUAUGGGUUGUAAACUGCUUUUAUGCGGGGAUAAAGUGAGGGACGUGUCCUUCAUUGCAGGUACCGCAUGAAUAAGAACCGGCUAAUUCCGUG